AAGUAAGCGCGAGUCAAUAAGCUCGUCGUUGUAUUACCGUCCUCGUCCCUUUGUACACACCCGCCCGUCGCUACUACCGUAUUAGAAUGUAUUUUAGUGGAGGUUCGUUCGGACGUGGGUACGGUUUAAUUUCCUUUUAACCUAACUUUUGGUUUGGUUAUUGAUGUACGCGUAGGAAAGAUCGAACCUAAACUUGAUCUAUUUAGAGGAAGUAAAAGUCGUAAC
rnacentral:rRNA from 1 species